CAGAAAAUAGCACACUUUUACUCUGCGCAACUGUUGCUUUUUCAUGCUGAGACUGUUAGUCCUUCAAGAAGAUAGCCUGACUCUUGUCAAGGUCAGAAUGAAAGAUCCUCCUCAAAUCCCUCAGAGAAGGGGUCACAAAGUUUAGAUGACAACCAUGGAGUUAUAAUUAACAUGUAAGUUUUAGGUCGAUAAUUUAAAUUAUUCCAACUUUCAGAAAAAAUUGUCU
rnacentral:lncRNA from 1 species